AUUGAACGCUGGCGGCAGGCUUAACACAUGCAAGUCGAGCAGGGUGAUGGUGCUUGCACUAUCACUUAGCGGCGGACGGGUGAGUAAUGCUUAGGAAUCUGCCUAUUAGUGGGGGACAACAUCUCGAAAGGGAUGCUAAUACCGCAUACGUCCUACGGGAGAAAGCAGGGGAUCACUUGUGACCUUGCGCUAAUAGAUGAGCCUAAGUCGGAUUAGCUAGUUGGUGGGGUAAAGGCCUACCAAGGCGACGAUCUGUAGCGGGUCUGAGAGGAUGAUCCGCCACACUGGGACGGAGACACGGCCCAGACUCCUACGGGAGGCAGCAGUGGGGAAUAUUGGACAAUGGGGGGAACCCUGAUCCAGUCAUGCCGCGUGUGUGAAGAAGGCCUUAUGGUUGUAAAGCACUUUAAGCGAGGAGGAGGCUCUUUUGGUUAAUACCCAAGAUGAGUGGACGUUACUCGCAGAAUAAGCACCGGCUAACUCUGUGCCAGCAGCCGCCGCCG
rnacentral:rRNA from 1 species